rnacentral:tRNA from 1 species
GCUCCCAUCGUCUAUCGGUCAGGACACCAGGUUUUCAUCCUGGGAAGCGGAGUUCGACUCUCCGUGGGAGCGCCA